AGGCCAUGGUGUGGACAGACUCUUAAAAUGUCUUUAUAUCUCUCCCAGGCUUCAAAUAGUGAUUCUCCUUGGUUUUGAGUGAAUCUAGUGAUCAGGUUUCUAAGAAC